CCCAGCACCAGGAGUCACAGGUGUCCCCAGUCGGUCAUCAGGAAUCAACACACACAGGUCACCAUGGAGUCUGGGCUGAGCUGGGUUCUCCUUGCUGCUCUCCUAGGAGGUGUGCAGUGUGAGGUGAAGCUGGUGGAGUCUGAUGGAGGCUUGGUGCAGCCUGGGGGAUCAGUGAGACUCACCUGUCUAGCCUCUGGAUUCACUUUCACUAGCUUUUACAUGAGCUGGGUCCGCCAGGCUCCUGGAAAGGGGCUUCAGUUGGUUGCAGGUAUUAGUAGUGAUGGAGGCAGCAAAUACUACAUUGACUCCGUGAAGGGCCGGUUCACCAUCUCCAGAGACAACGGCAAGAACACGGUGGAUCUGCAAAUGGACCGCCUGUCAGACGAGGACUCAGCCCUGUAUUUCUGUGCGAAAGACACAGUGAGGCAAAGUCCUUGAGAGUC